rnacentral:lncRNA from 1 species
GUUUAAUUAAGAUUUUCUUAUCCACUGCUAUGUUAAUAGCUUGCUAGACCCUGCAAGAGCCUCCUGUAUGUGAUUAAAGUUCAAUUUAGAGAUUGAGAUACAAUUAUUUAAGGUAAAUUACAUCUGUUUAAAAGUGAAACCAGUUUUUUUUUUUCAUGCAGGCUCUGUCAAUCAUAGCCAGGGGAGGUGUGGCUAGGGCUGCAUAAACAGAAACAAAGUGAUUUAACUCCUAAAUGACAGUGAAUUGAGCAGUGAAAUUGCAGGGGAAUGAUCUAUACACUAA